rnacentral:tRNA from 1 species
GGGUCGGUGCCCGAGUGGCCAAAGGGAACAGGCUGUAAACCUGUCGGCAUCUGCCUACGUUGGUUCAAAUCCAACCCGGCCCA